rnacentral:rRNA from 1 species
UUGGAGGGCAAGUCUGGUGCCAGCAGCCGCGGUAAAUCCAGCUCCAAUAGCGUAUAUUAAAGUUGUUGCAGUUAUAAAGCUCGUAGUUGAAUUUCGGGAUUCAUCCGUUGGUCGGGCUUCACGGUCCGCACUGGUGUGAUGGGUUCCUACCUUCUGAAUAACCGGCAUGCCAUUAAUUUGGUGCGCCGGGGAAGCAGAACUAUUACCUUGAAAAAAUUAGAGUGCUUAAAGCAGGCAAGUGCCUGAAUAGGUUAGCAUGGAAUAAUAAAAUAGGACGGCAUGGUUCUAUUUUGUUGGUUUCUAGGAUCACCGUAAUGAUUAAUAGGGAUAGUUGGGGGCAUUGUAUUCAAUUGUCAGAGGUGAAAUUCUUGGAUUUAUUGAAGACUAACUUCUGCGAAAGCAUUUGCCAAGGAUGUUUUCAUUAAUCAAGAACGAAAGUUAGGGGAUCGAAGACGAUCAGAUACCGUCGUAGUCUUAACCAUAAACUAUGCCGACUAGGGAUCGGACGAUGUUAAUUUUUUAAUGACUCGUUCGGCGCCUUACGGGAAACCAAAGUGUUUGGGUUC